rnacentral:rRNA from 1 species
AAUAGAUACCCAGGUAGUCCACGCCGUAAACGGUGGGCACUAGAUGUGGGGCUCUUUCCAUGAGUUCCGCGUCGCAGCUAACGCAUUAAGUGCCCCGCCUGGGGAGUACGGCCGCAAGGCUAAAACUCAAAGGAAUUGACGGGGGCCCGCACAAGCGGCGGAGCAUGCGGAUUAAUUCGAUGCAACGCGAAGAACCUUACCAAGGCUUGACAUAUACGGUCUAUCCCUAGAGAUAGGGAGUGCUUCGGCGCCGUAUACAGGUGGUGCAUGGUUGUCGUCAGCUCGUGUCGUGAGAUGUUGGGUUAAGUCCCGCAACGAGCGCAACCCUCGUUCUAUGUUGCCAGCACGUGAUGGUGGGGACUCAUAGGAGACUGCCGGGGUCAACUCGGAGGAAGGUGGGGAUGACGUCAAAUCAUCAUGCCCCUUAUGUCUUGGGCUUCACGCAUGCUACAAUGGCCGGUACAAAGGGCUGCGAAUCCGUAAGGUGGAGCGAAUCCCAAAAGCCGGUCUCAGUUCGGAUUG